AUUUUAAGCAGUUCAAUUAAUGCAUUUCUCCAUUUUCUGUUCAAACUAUGAAUGAACAAACAUUUCCAUGAAGAACAGAAGUGAAUUUUUAUGCUGAGAGCUUUCCUCUCCUAACCCUGCUCUAUGGCCUCAUAAAAAUCUCACCAUAUAACACAUACAAAUUCAAUGAGAUUCAUGUAUUUAAUAUUAAGCCCACACUUAAUAUUUUUAAUGGAUAUAGCUUAGUCCUCACCUCCUUGCCAGCUGGAGCUCCUGAAGGUUGGGCCUUUUGGCUGCUCCAUGUCACAGUGCAAGGGCACUUAGGGACAGCAGAAUGUCAUCACAAUCACAUGAGCACAGACUACAUGUGCUCUCUGAGGAGGAAGACACAUUGGGCUUGGCACAGCUGCACAUCAGCUAAUCCAGCAUAUGAACCUGCUUCAGAGAACUUCAAAGGGUCUCGAGGUCCCCUUCAUGCAGACCAUGAUGUAAAAACUACACCGGUAAAAUUCCCAAUUCCCAACAAGACAAAAAGCAGCAAGAAAAUCUCCAACAGCAGCUCUUCAGCUCCAGUGGCAGCUGUCAUUGCAGGUCAUAGCAGUGUCUGGUGGGAGAUAAUAUCCAAGAGCUCAAGCAAGUCUCAGGAGUACCGAUAUCACAGUUCUGCUGAUUUUGUUACUGAUUUGCUGCUUGACCUUAGAUAUGUGAAGAGUGGAGAAUGGUGCAAAGCUGUAAAUCAACUCUGUCCUGGAAUGGAUCCGUGCCAUAAGAGAUCAUCUCGAAAAUUCCAGCCUUGUCUGACCAUGGUAAAGAGAUUAUGCGAAAGGCUGGAUGGAGAACACCAUGCAGGUGCCUGACCUCAUGUGGGACACAGAAGAGUCAUUGCAGGGGAAAGGCACCAUGCGCCUGGCACGGGUUCAGGCCCGCAGUGCAGAAGCAAACAUCUCCAUUAGCCCGUUGACUGCCCUGUGAGUCAGGUAGUCCAUCCAGCAGCCUCCUUCCAUAAUUGUUUGUGCUCUGUAAUUAAUUAAAGAUGGACCAGCAAAUAAACCCCACACUCCCAAGUUUUCA
rnacentral:lncRNA from 1 species